rnacentral:ncRNA from 2 species
AUAAAAACUAAAUAUUCAUCUCGUAUAACAUUGGAAAUAAGGUCCAAAAGUUUCUACCAGACUACCGUAAACAGUCUGACUACGAGGGUUAAAUAAGCAAUA